GUGCUCACUUUGGCAGCACAUAUACUACAAAUGGAAGGUUACAGAGAUUAGCAUGGCCCCUGUGCAAGCAUGCCAUGCAAAUUCAAGAAGCAUUCCAUAUAAAC
ensembl:snRNA U6 U6 spliceosomal RNA